GGAAACAGACGUCCAGGUACAGGAAGCACAGAGAGCACCAAACAAGAUGAACCCAAAGAGGCCCCCACCAAGACACAUUAUAAUUAAAAUGUGAAGAACUAAAGACAAAGAGAGAAUACUAACAGUUGCAAGAGAAAGGCAACAAGUUACAUACAAAGGAAACCCCAUAAGGCUAUCAGUUGAUUUCUCAGCAGAAACCUUACAGGCUUGAAGGGAGUGGCAUGAUAUAUUUAAAGUGCUGAAAGGGAAAAACCUACAGCCAAGAAUACUCUACCUGGCAAAGUUAUCAUUCAGAAUGGAAGGAGAGGCAAAGAGUUUUCCAGACAAGCGAAAACUAAAGGAGUUUAUCACCAAGAAACCAACCUUACAAGAAAAGCUAGAGACUUAUUUACGUGGAAAGGAAAAGACCACAAAUAGGAUUAAGAAUAUUAUCCAAAAAAAAAAUCGCUGGUAAAGGUAAAUAUACAGUAAAGUUAGCAGAUCAACCACUCAUGAAUCUAAUAUGAAGGUCAAAAGACAUAAGUACUGGGGCCGGACCCAUGGCGUAGUGGUUAAGUUUGGUGCAUUCUGCUUUGGCAGCCCAGGUUCACGGGUUUGGAUCCUGAGUGCACACCUACACCACUUGUCAACGAUGCUGUGGUAGCGAUCCACAUACAAAAUAGAGGAAGAAUGGCACAGAGGUUAGCUCAGGGCUAAUCUUCCUCAAGGCAAAAAACAGGAAGAUAACAAGAGAAUAUAACACUUCUAAAUGUCUAUAUGCCCAACAUAGAAACACCUAAAUAUAUAAAGCAAUUAUUAACAGACAUGAAAGGAGAAAUAGGCAGUAACAUAAUAAUACUAGAGGACUUUAACACUCCACCUACAUCAAUGGAUAGAUCAUCCAAGCAGAAGAUCAAUAAGGAAAGAUUGACCAUAAAUGACACAUUAGACCAGAUAGGCUAAGUAAAUGUAUACAGAACAGUCCAUUCAAAAACCACAGAAUACGCAUUCUUUUCAAAUGUACCUGCAACAUUCUCCAAGAUAGAUCACAUAUAGGCCACAAAACAAGUCUCAAUAAAUUUAAGAAGAUUGAAAUAAAACUAAGCAUCUUCUCUGACCAGAAAAGCAUGAAACUAAAAAUCAACUACUGGAAGAAAAUCAGAAAAGCCACAAAUAUAUGAAGAUUAAACAAAAUGCUACUGAACAGAAAAUGCAUCAAUGAAGAAAUCAAAGGAGAAAUCAAAAAAUACCUGGAGAUAAAUGAGAAUGAAAAUACAACAUGCCAAAAUUUACUUGAUACAUCAAACAUGGUUGUAAGAGGGAAGUUUAUAGCAAUACAGGCCUACUUGAAAAACAAGAAAAAUCUCGAAUAAACAAUCUAAGAGUGCACCUAAAGGAACUAGAAAAAGGACAAACAAAGCUCAAAAUCAGUACAAGGAAGGAAAUAAUAAAAAUCAGAGCAGAAAUAGAUGAAAUAGAGACUAAAAAACAAUAGAUAGAAAAAAAUCAGUGAAACUAAGAGCUGGUUCCUUGAAAAGAUAAACAAAACUGACAAACCUUUAACUAGACUCACCAAGAAAAAAAGAGAGAAGGCUCAAUAAAUAAAAUAAGAAAUGAAAGAGGAGAAAUUACAAAAGACAUCUCAGAAAUACAAAAGAUUAUAAGAGACAAAAAGCUACACGCCAACAAAUUAGAUAAUCUAGAAGAAAUGGACAAAUUCUUAGAAUCAUAGAAGUUUCCAAAACUAAAUGAAGAAGAAAUAGGUAAUUUGAAUAGACCAAUCACGAGUAAGGAGAUCAAAACAAUAACCAUAAACUCCCAAAAAAUAAAAGUCGAGGACCAGAUGGCUUCCCUGGUGAAUUCUACUAAACAUUCAAAGAAGGCUUAAUACUUAAACUCCUCAAACUCUUCCAAAAAUUUGAAGAGGAGAGGAAACUUACUAACUCAUUCUACAAGGCCAACAUAACCCUGGUAUCAAAACCAGACAAGGACAACACACACACAAAAAAAAUUAAAGGCCAAUACCACUAAUGAAUGUAGAUGCAAAAAUCCUCAACAAAAUACUGGCAAAUUGAAUACAACAAUACAUUAAAAAGAUCAUCCACUAUGAUCAACUAGGAUUUAUUCCAGGGGUGCAACGAUAGUUCAACAUCCACAAAUCAAUCAAUGUGAUAUACUACAUUAACAAAAUGAAGAAUAAAAAUCACAUGAUCAUCUCAAGAGAUGAAGAGAAAGCAUUUGACAAGACACAACUUCCAUUUAUGAUAAAAACUCUGAAUAAGAUGGGUAUGGAAGGAAAAUACCUCAAUGUAAUAAAGCCCAGAUAUGACAAACCCACAGCUAAUACCAUACUCAAUGGAGAAAAACUGAAAGCUAUCCCUCUAAGAACAUGAACCAGACAAGGAUGCUCACUUUCACCACUUUUAUUUAACAUAGUAUUGGAAGUACUAGCCAGAGUAAUCAGGCAAGAAAAAGAAAUAAAAGGGAUCCAAAUUGGAAAGGAAGAAGUGAAACUGUCACUAUUGGUAGAUGACAUGAUUUUUAUAUAUAGAAAACCCUAAAGAAUCCACCAAAAACCUUUUAGAAAUAAUAAAUGAAUACAGUAAAGUUGCAGCAUACAAAAUCAACAAACAUAAAUCAGUUGUGCUUCUAUACACAAAUAACAAAGUAGCAGAAGGAGAAAUUAAUAAUACAAUCCUGUUUACAAUUGCAACAAAAAAAUAAAAUACCUAAAAAUAAAUUUAAUCAAAGAGAUGAAAGACCUGUACACUGAAAACUAUAAAACAUUAUUGAAAGAAAUUGAAGACACAAAGAAAUGGAAAGAUAUUCUGUGCUCUUGGAUUGGAAGAAUUAACACAGUUAAAAUGUCCAUACUUCCUAAAGCAAUCUAUAGAUUCCAUGAGAUCCCUAUCAAAGUUCCAACGAUAUUUUUCACAGAAAUACAACAAAGAAUCCUAAAAUUUGUAUGGAACAACACAAGAUCCCAAAUAGCCUAAGGAAUCCUGAGAAAAAGGAACAAGGCUGGAGGUAUUACACUCCCUGAUUUCAAAAUAUACUACAAAGCUAUAGUAAUCAAAACAACAUGUUACUGGCACAAAACACACACACAGAUCAAUGGAACAGAAUCGAGAGCCCAGAAAUAAACCCACACAUCUCUGGACAGCUAAUUUUUGACAAGGGAGCCAGGGACAUACAAUAGAGAGUCUCUUCAAUAAACGGUGUUGGGAAAACUGGACAACCACAUGCAAAAGAAUGAAACUAGACCGCUGUCUUACACCAUACACAAAAAUUAACUCUAAAUGGAUUAAAGACUUGAAUGUAAGACCUGAAACCAUAAAACCUCUAGAAGAAAACAUAGGCAGUAUGUUCUUCAACAGUAGUAUUAACAACAUAUUUUCAAGUACCAUGUCUGACCAGGCAAGGGAAGCAAUAAAAAAUAAACAAAUGGGACUACAUCAUACUAAAAAGCUUCUGCACAGCAAAGGAAACCAUCAACAAAAUGAAAAGACAAGCUUACAAUUGGAAGAAGAUAUUUGCAAACUAUAUAUCUGAUCAGGGGUUAAUAUCAAAAUGUGUUAAGAACACAUACAUCUCAACAACAAAAAAAGUAACAAUCUAGUUAAAAAAUGGGCAAAAGAUCUGAACAUACAUUUCUCCAAAGAAGAUAUACAGAUGACCAACAGGCACAUGAAAAGAUGUUCGACAUCACUAAUUAUUAGGGAAAUGCAAAUCAAAACACGUGCCCUUUCACCCUCCUCCCUCCCCCUUUCCUCUCUGGUAACCCCCCAAUCCAAUCUCUGUCUCUAUGUGUUUGUUUGUUGUUUUUAUCUUCUAUUUAUGAGUGAGAUCUUACAGUAUUUGACUUUCUCCCUCUGACAGAUUUCGCUUAGCAUAAUACUCUCAAGGUCCAUCCAUGUUGUCACAAAUCGCCAGAUUUCAUUGUUUUUUAUGGGAGUAGUAUUCCAUUGUGUAUAUAUACCACAUCCUCUUUAUCCAUACAUCCCUUGAUGGGUUCCCAGGUUGCUUCCAAGUCUUGGCUAUUGUGAAUAAGGCUGCAAUGAACAUGAAGGUGCACAUAUCUUUACGCGUUCAUGUUUUCACGUUCUUUGGAUAAAUACCCAGCAGUGGAACAGCUGGAUUGUAUUGUAGUUCUAUUCUUAACAUUUUGAGGAACCUCCACACUGUUUGCCAGAGUGGCUGCACCAGUUUGCACUCCCACCAGCAGUGUAUGAGAGUUCCCUUUUCUCUGCAUCCUCUCCAACACUUGUUAUUUCCUGUCUUGUUAAUUUUAGCCAUUCUGAUGGGAGUGAGGUGAUAUGUCGUUGUAGUUUUGAUUUGCAUUUCCCUAAUAAUUAGCGAUGUUGAACAUCUUUUCAUGUGCCUGUUGGUCAUCUGUAUAUCUUCUAUGGAAAAAUGUAUGUUCAGAUUUUUUGACCAUUUUUUAAUUGGGUUGAUACUUUUUUUGUUUGAUUUCCACAUACAAAAAGAAUGAAGUUGGAUCCCUACCUCACACUAUAUACAAAAAUUAACUCAAAAUGGAUCAAUAAUCUAAAUAUAAGAGGUAGAGCCCUAAAACUCUUAGAAGAAUGCAUAGAGAAAAAUUUUCGUGACCUUGGAUUGUCAAUGGAUUCUUAGAUAUGACACUAAGAGAAUAAGAAACAAAAGAGAAAAACAGAUCACUUGGACUUCAUCAAAAUUAAAUACUUUUGUUCAUCAAAGGAUACUCUAAAGAGAGUUAAAGACAAUCCACAGAAUGGGAGAAAAUAUUUGCGGGUCAUAUCUAAUAAGAGUUUAACAUCCAAAAUAUAGGAAGAACUCCUACAAUUCAGCAACAAAAAGACAAAUAACCCAAUUAAAAAUGCAUAAAGGACUUGAGUAGACAAUUCUCCAAGAAAGAUAUACAAAUCGCCAAUAAGUACAUGAAAAGAUGCUCAACAUCAUUAGUCAUUAAGGAAAUGAAAAUCAAAACCACAAUAAGAUACCAUUUCACACCUACUAGAAUGGUUACAAUAAUAAUAAAAGAAAACAAUGGAAAAUAACAAAUGUUGGCUAGGAUGUGGAGAAAUUGGAACCUUUGUACAUUCCUGGUGAGAAUGUGAGAUGGCGCAGCCACUGUGAAAACGGUUUAGUGGUUCCUCAAAAAGUUAAACAUAGAAUUACUAUAUGACCCAGCAAUUCCAUGCUUAGGUAUAUACCCAAAGGAACUCGAAACGGGGGAUCAAACGGAUACUUGUAUGCUAAAGUUAUUACAGUAUUAUUCAAAAUAGCCAAAAAGUGGAAACAACUUAAGUGUCUAUCAACAGAUGAAUGGAUAAAUGAAAUAUGGUAUAUACAUAUAUUGGAAUAUUAUUCAGCUUAAAAAUGUUCUUUUUUUCAAUUUUAAAAUAAAACAGUUUAUUGGUUGUGUCGAGUAAUAUAAUGCUCAAAUAUUUCAUCUAAGAAAUUCAAAGCACUUGACAACUGAUGCCCAUAACAUCUAUGCAAUUGGAUUAUAGCUGCUAAAAAUGAGGAAGAAAAAUCUAUUCUGGUUUUUCAGCAGUAAAAAUUAAAAAGAAUCCAGAAUUACUGAGACAAAAUUUACUGGCUAAGUUAGCCCUAAAAACUGAAACAGAAUCAUCUUACAGGUACUUCAUCUUUCAUAAUCUGUUACUGAAGAGAUUUUAAGAGAUUCAGAAAUCUGUUCCAGUGUAGAAAUAGAGUCAAAUGGCUUCUAUAAAAGAAUCAUUAAAAGUAUAGAGAAGAGAUCUAUCAUUCAUAUUAUAAAAGGAAAUCCCACUCAAUUCAUUGUCCAGAAAAAUGCCAGUCUACUGGAUCUUACUACUGGCAGAAACUGGCUUCUCUGAGAACCCAACGAAAUAUAACUGCUUUCAGCAUAUUGCCCAAUUGCCCAGAUCCACACUGAACUACUGGUUGAUUCUGCCAGUCCCCAGGAAGACUGAGUUGACAGACCCACAAUGUCUGUUUAUGUUUGUUUCCCACUUCUACCUCCCAGUAAUGCCUAUCACAAUUAAAUCUCUUAGAACCCAGAAAGGCAGGGCAGAACUUGGGUGAUAACAAAGGUUUUGUUUCUUUCUUUCCAUAUCACACAGUUUUCUAUCCCCAGAGACUAUAAGCUGAGGAUGUGCUGUUUCAAGAUUUAGAAUUACAUCUACUAUGAUGGCUUGAUGAUUUUGCCCAAGCCAGAAUAUUGAGGAGGAAUGCUGACUGAAUCCAUAUUUCUUUAAUCAGAAUGAAGAGUUAGAGUAUUUCAGGUUUUGAUAGCUGUGGUAGAUAUUCUGAACGUGUCAGUAAUUCUACUUCCGACUGCACACACUUGCCCUCUACUUCCUCUAGCGCAUGCUUUAAUGUGAAAACAUGAUCUGAAAAUGUGUUUUCAUUUAGUUUUGUUAAAAUGUUCAUCUCUUCAUUUUGCAUCUGCUUAAUAGCCUCUUACUCAUUCUGUAGAAAUAGUUUAAAAUGCUCAAAUUCAGAAUCUAUUUAUUCUCUCCUGUACUCUAUGUUCUUUUUCAGUUCCACUGAUUUUCUGUCUUGCAGAGUUAUUACUUUUUUAACUUGUAAUACAUUAUUCUUCAAGGGCUCAAUGCUACAGGGAAAUGAAGUUCUGAUACAUGCUUCAACACGGGUGAACGUUGAAAACAUUAUGGAGGCCCAUGUGGCAACGAUCUGAGGGUGAACUCUGGCUAACCACCAACAAGGAACUGGGAUUCUCAGUCCAACACUCCAAAAGGAGCUGAAUCCUGUCCACAAUUAUGUGGUGAGCGUGGAAGUGGAUCCUUCCCUAGUUGAGCUUUCAGAUGAGACUCCAGCCCUGGCUGAGCCACCACUCCAACCCCACUUUGAUUGCAGCCUCGUAAGACACCCUGAGGCAGAGGACCCAACUAAGCUG
ensembl:lncRNA